AAGGUACUCCCUCCGUCCCGAAUUAUUUGUCUUAUAUUAUUUUAUGUACGGAUGUAUCUAGACAUGUUUUAGUGUUAGAUUAGAUACACUCUUAUCUAGAUAAAUCUAAGACAAGUAAUUUGGGAUGGAUGUUGUAUUUG
rfam:Triticum aestivum genome assembly, contig: Triticum_aestivum_CS42_TGACv1_scaffold_290943_4AL